UUUCUUCACGCCGUCAUCUAGCUGAGUCAUUUUCUCCUGCGUAUACCUUAGAUCAGAUCGGAUCUGGGCAUCAUAAGGAGAGGGGCUUCAGCGGGAUCCGCUGACUUUAGUAAAUGUAUGUUUCGGCUGAAGGAAGAAUUCAGUUAUUCGUCAAUUAACUGAGAACGAACGAGCACCCUGAAAAUUCAGGUAAUGCAUACAGAGCCCUUUUUUUUAUGUUUAACUUGAAGAUACUCUUUAUUUCAAUUCAUGCCGGUGAUUUUAUUUUUCAUAUAUGUGUAUGUAGAUGGCG